GUCUAUUGCCAUGCCACCCUGAACGUGCCCAAUCUCAUCUGAUCUCGGAAGCUAAGCAGGGUCGGGCCUGGUUAGUACUUGGAUGAGAGACCAUUUAGGAAUACCAGGUGCUGUAGGCA
rnacentral:rRNA from 1 species